rnacentral:lncRNA from 1 species
ACUUAACCUUAUGAGACUUAGGGGGAGAGCUUGCAAACCUCUCGUCCUGAAGAAAAAUAUGGAAUUUAAUUUUACUUUAAAAAUUACUUAAUCUUAUACUAAAUUAAAAUAUCAUGGAUAAAACUUAAAGAUAAGGUUUUAUGGAGUAUCAAUCUUAGGGGGAGCUUGCAAACCUCACAAACCUAAGAGAAACAUGAUAAGUUAAUUUAACAACAAUUGUCAAUUAAUACUUAUGUUUGUCAUCAUCAAA